rnacentral:misc_RNA from 1 species
AAUUGAUAUUCCUAAUGUCAAGACCUGUCAUUUCAUGUAAAACAACUGUUGAUCAGCAAAUGACGUAGCAAAUUGCACUUGUUUACUAAAGAAUUUCUAUAGACUUAGAGCCAAUUUGGCUCUGUCGGCUGCCUUGCACAAAAGCUGACGCCACCAAGACACAGUUUCUUAAUAAAGUUAUGACAACAAGCCUCUUUAGAAGUGUCAUUUAAUACCUUGGUGCAGAUCUCUCAGCCUGCAGUGCCAAACUAGGCAUUAAUCUAGUAAUAGAUUAAUCUUUCAAUUUGAAUAAGUUCUCUAGUUCAAGUAUGGAUU